UGAGUACGAGCUGCUACGGCAGCAAAGUGGGUGACGUCAAGCUUCCAAGAAAAGCCCUAUACCCGUUAAGGCAUGAUGGCCUGUACCCGAAACCGACACAGGUAGGAUGGUAGAGAAUACCGAGGGGCGCGAGGUAACUCUCUCUAAGGAACUCGGCAAAAUGGCCCCGUAACUUCGGGAGAAGGGGUGCCACCGCAAGGUGGUCGCAGUGAAGAGGCCCAGGCGACUGUUUACCAAAAACACAGGUCUCCGCUAAGUCGCAAGACGAUGUAUGGGGGCUGACGCCUGCCCAGUGCCGGAAGGUUAAGGAAGCUGGUCAGCGUAAGCGAAGCUAGCGACUGAAGCCCCGGUGAACGGCGGCCGUAACUAUAACGGUCCUAAGGUAGCGAAAUUCCUUGUCGGGUAAGUUCCGACCCGCACGAAAGGCGUAACGAUCUGGGCGCUGUCUCGGAGAGAGGCUCGGCGAAAUAGAAUUGUCUGUGAAGAUGCGGACUACGUGCACCCGGACAGAAAGACCCUAUGAAGCUCUACUGUAGCUUGGUAUUGUGCCCGGGCUCUGAAUGCGCAGGAUAGGUGGGAGGCUUUGAUCAACAGCUUGCGGGUUGUUGUGAGCCAACGGUGAGAUACCACUCUUUCAGAGCUAGGGUUCUAACGGUCACCCGUUAUCCGGGGACCGGACAGUAUCAGGUGGGCAGUUUGACUGGGGCGGUCGCCUCCUAAAAGGUAACGGAGGCGCGCAAAGGUUUGCUCAGGCUGGUUGGAAAUCAGCCGACGAGUGUAAAAGCAGAAGCAAGCUUGACUGUGAGACCUACAAGUCGAACAGGGACGAAAGUCGGCUUUAGUGAUCCGACGGUUCUGAGUGGAAGGGCCGUCGCUCAACGGAUAUAAGUUACUCUAGGAUAACAGGCUGAUCUCCCCCAAGAGUUCACAUCGACGGGGAGGUUUGGCACCUCGAUGUCGGCUCAUCGCAACCUGGGGCUGAAGUCGGUCCCAAGGGUUGGGCUGUUCGCCCAUUAAAGCGGUACGCGAGCUGGGUUCAGAACGUCGUGAGACAGCUCGGUCCAUAUCCGGUGCAUGCGCAGGAAUAUUGAGAGGAGUUCUCCCUAGUACGAGAGGACCGGGAGGAACGCACCUCUGGUGUACCAGUUAUCGUGCCAACGGUAAACGCUGGGUAGCCAUGUGCGGAGAGGAUAACCGCUGAAAGCAUCUAAGUGGGAAGCCCACCUCAAGAUGAGUAUUCCCAUGGCAUAAGCCAGUAAGGUCACGGGAAGAACACCCGUUGAUAGGCUCUACGUGGAAGCGCAGUAAUGCGUGAAGCGGAGGAGUACUAAUAGACCGAGGGCUUGAC
rnacentral:rRNA from 1 species